AUGUCGCCGCUGGUGCGGCCCGCCGUGCUGCCCGUGUGCGCCGCGGCGAGCGGCGGCGGAGGGGGCAACAGCGACAAGUGGGCGCCGCGGCAGCAGCGGUCGUGGUGGGGGAGGAGCAAGCAGAGCCUGCCGCACCAGCCAGGCGGUAGCGGGGGGCGGGGAGGAGGCGGGGGCGGCGGGGCCCUGGACCAGAUGCUCGGCGUCCUCCGCCGCGACAGCGAAUUCCUCCAGGCCGCUGCCGGCGCCCCGCUACGCGACGCCCUCUGGCUCCGCUUCCUCGAGAAGAAGCAGCAGCAGCGGAAGCGGCCGAGACCUAAGCCUGCGGAGCAGCAGCAGCAGGAGGCGGCGGCGCCACCACAUCCCCAAGCCCCGGCGUUCCCCGCCUACCCUCCAGGGUUGUCUUGCGUGGAGCUGGUGAUGGCCGAUCUGCAAGCCCUCAAGGUGUACGCCGAUUCCUCCAAGCAGGAAUUUGUGCUCCGGUUCCUCGGAAGCAAGCAGCAACCCCCUCAAUCCCAGCAGCAAUCUACUGAGCUCAAACCAGUUUUCAAGAAACAACCUAAACCCAAAGGUCCCAAACCCAAUGGACAGCAGAAAGAGCAGCAGCAGCAGCAGCAGCAGGCGCUUCAGCCCCCGGCCUUCCCUCCUAAUCCCCACCCACCAGGUCUGUCUUGUAUGGAGCUGAUGAUGGCUGACGUCGAUGCCCUCAACUUGUAUGUCAACUACUUCUUGGCCAUUCUCAGCACUCCUCUGCCCCAGCAUUACGAUCCCGAUCUGCUCGCGCAGUACUUCGUCUCACGGCCUCAUAUCCUUGUAUUUCGCACGGUUCAAAUACUAUUCGCAUUCCUCGUGGGUGCGGUAAAGGUGCAAAUGUUUAAAAAGGCCAGUCUGACCACAGAUGCUACCCACAGCACUAGUGUCAGCAACGAAGGUUUUGAUGCUUCACAAUACAUGGUUGGACAGCUUCUCAAGGAUACAUUUCUUGACCUUGGACCUACUUUCAUUAAAGUUGGACAAUCCCUCUCAACAAGACCUGAUAUCUUAGGCUCGGAGAUUUCUGAGGCACUUGCCGAGUUGCAUGAGAGAGUUCCUCCUUUCCCAAGAGAGGAUGCAAUGAAGAUCAUUGAGGGAGAAUUUGAGCGACCUGUUUCGCAGGUUUUCAGUUACAUUUCUGAUGAGCCUGUUGCAUCAGCUUCCUUUGGACAGGUUUAUCAGGGGCGUACAUUUGAUGGUGCUCUUGUGGCCAUAAAGGUUCAGCGACCGAACCUUCUUCCUUCUGUAUUGAGGGACAUCUAUAUACUACGCCUUGGGCUUUCUUUUGUGAGGAAAGUUGCAAAGCGAAGAAGUAACAUUUCCCUCUAUGCUGAUGAGUUGGGUAGAGGAUUUGUUGAUGAGUUGGACUACAAUAUUGAAGCUGAUAAUGCUACUAAAUUCCUGGACACUCACUCCAACUAUUCAUUUGUCAUGGUUCCGAAGGUUCUCAAACAACUUACUAGGAAGAGGGUUUUGACUAUGGAGUGGGUGGCUGGUGAAAACCCCAGGGAAUUGCUUUCUCUGGCUAAAGGAAUUUCUGGUAGCAUUGCUGAGUUGUCAGAGAAGCAGAAGUUGGAUGCAAAAGCCCGCCUUCUUGACCUGGUCAAUAAAGGUGUCGAGGCAUCAUUAGUGCAGCUCCUUGAAACCGGCUUGCUGCAUGCUGAUCCUCAUCCUGGGAAUUUGCGUUAUACACCUGAUGGUCGUGUUGGGUUUCUUGAUUUUGGGUUGCUUUGCGAGAUGGAGAAGAAACAUAGCCGAGCUAUGCUUUCGAGCAUUGUGCACAUAGUAAAUGGAGAUUGGGCUUCCCUUGUUUACGAUCUGAUUGAAAUGGAUGUUGUUCCACCAAGAACUAAUCUACGGCGAGUGACCAUGGACUUAGAGGAUACAUUGGGUGAGGUAACCUUUGAAGGUGGAAUUCCAGACAUCAAGUUUAGCAGGGUACUUGGAAAAAUUUGGUCCAUAGCACUUAAAUAUCACUUUCGUAUGCCACCAUAUUUUACGCUGGUCCUGCGGUCAAUUGCCUCUUUGGAAGGACUUGCCAUAGCACAAGAUGGAACUUUUAAAACAUUUCAGGCAGCAUAUCCGUAUGUUGUUAGGAAGCUUCUGUCUGAUAACUCACUUGAUACUAGGAAGGUCCUGCAUGAGGUGAUUUUCAACAGAAGGAAAGAGUUCCAGUGGCACAAGAUUGCAGUGUUUCUAAAGCUAGCAUCAGCAAGGGGUAACUUCAGGCAAAACACUGGCGCUCUGCCCGAGAGAAAGGGUCUGGAUGUCUCAAACCUUGCAGAGAUCAGUGACGCGUCUUCCCUCGACCGCGCCACACCAGAAAGGGCGAUGCAUACUGCAAACCUUUGUCUGAGGCUCUUACUAUCAAGGGAUAGCAUUGUGAUAAGGAGACUUAUAAUGACAGCAAACCACAAGUCUCUUGCCCGGGACCUGAUCUCCAAAGACGCGGCGAUAUUCCGGGCCCUCCUGAGCCGGGCUCUCGCCGACGUCGUCUGCCAGUGGAUGGUCAAGGCGGCCGGACUGAAACGGUCCAGGGACCGCAUGGGUGACGACCUGGGCAUGUCCCUGUCCAAAGAAGCACCGAUUUCACCUGUGGUGUCGUCGUUACAGGAGGUCGUGAGGGACCGAAGGCUGAAGGUCAUAUUCUCAAAGUUUGUCAAGGAUCUAAUGGAGGUGCCAAUGCUGAUGGUCAGGGUGGGCUGGAGCGCGCUCGUCGUCUCGGCCGUGUCCGCCGCCAUCGGCGCGCACCGCUUCGCCGUCCUCCUCUCGGAGGAGUAUCUGCCGACGGUGUGGACGCCUGCGCCUCCGCCGCCGCAGUUAGCUUGGAGCUAA
rnacentral:rRNA from 1 species